AAAUCAGGGUAUUUCAGUCGCAGUUUCCAAUAAAAGCAGCGGCAUAUGGGCAAAUUCGUGCAAGGUAUCCUGAGCCAAGCAGGAUUGAAAGAGAUUGAUUGUGCCGGAGAACCUACGGCUAGAGGAGGAAGGUUUUGUUCAAGGUCUUAGCCAAGUUCAGUCUACUAUUGGCAAAAUAAUUUCCUGAAAGCUGUGUUGACAAAUACAUUUUGCGUAGUCAAAUGCGCAGGAGAGUCAAAACAACACCGUAUCUACCUCUGAGGAAGUGAAUAUCGCCGAAAAUCCUUUCAGUGCACUUUUCAGGACAUGGCCAACAAAUAUAGUUUUACUAUCCUACUUAUCUUUUGCCUGGCCGCACCAGCUAUCUCAGUCCACGCCUGCAAUCCACAACUCAAUGACUGUAGCAACUUCUCCAAAAGGCUUGAGGCAUUGAAGAAACGAAAUGUUGGCUGCCCUAAAAUUGCAGGCACAGUAUGCGACCCAGACCUUGCCAAUCCUUGUCCUUGCCCGAAGUAUGGUGCUACAUACUUAUGCGAGUGGGAGAUCAAAAGCCUCACGCCUUAUACGGGAAGAUAUGAAUGCGUCAGACAAUGUUUGGGCGAAUGUUGAUAGGACUGAACGGGAAAUUUAUGUUUUUUUGCGGCUACAUAUAGCGUGGUUAAUUACGUGGUUAAUUUUUCUGCAAAAUAGUUUCGAGAUUUUCAUUGGUGUUGUGUUCUGCUUUUUCUUGAUAUAUGUUUCUGUAAGUUGUUUUUUGUUUGUUUCAUAUUUUAAUCAUGAGAAAAAAGUUAUCGAAGGAAACCUUUGAAGGAAGUUUUGAGGGACAGUUAGGCCCAGUUCAGACACCGAACUUUUCAUGAGCCGAACCAAAUACAUUGAAUCAAGCACAUGAAAAGUUCGG